UGGAUCAAUGAUAACUACUGGGAUAUGUAAGUCAUGUACAAUGAAUAAGUGUCUCAAACUCGGAGGUUCAA